AGCGAACGCUGGCGGCAGGCCUAAUACAUGCAAGUCGAGCGCACCUUCGGGUGAGCGGCGGACGGGUGAGUAACGCGUGGGAAUGUGCCCUUUGGUACGGAACAACUGAGGGAAACUUCAGCUAAUACCGUAUGUGCCCUUCGGGGAAAGAUUUAUCGCCAUAGGAGCAGCCCGCGUUGGAUUAGGUAGUUGGUGAGGUAAAGGCUCACCAAGCCUACGAUCCAUAGCUGGUCGAGAGGAUGAUCAGCCACACUGGGACUGAGACACGGCCCAGACUCCUACGGGAGGCAGCAGUAGGGAAUCUUGCGCAAUGGGCGAAAGCCUGACGCAGCCAUGCCGCGUGAAUGAUGAAGGUCUUA
rnacentral:rRNA from 1 species